AUUGAACGCUGGCGGCAUGCCUUACACAUGCAAGUCGAACGGUAACGGGCCUUCGGGUGCCGACGAGUGGCGAACGGGUGAGUAAUGCAUCGGAACGUACCUUUCAGUGGGGGAUAACGUAGCGAAAGUUACGCUAAUACCGCAUAUUCUGUGAGCAGGAAAGCAGGGGAUCGCAAGACCUUGCGCUGAUUGAGCGGCCGAUGUCAGAUUAGCUAGUUGGUGAGGUGAAGGCUCACCAAGGCGACGAUCUGUAGCGGGUCUGAGAGGAUGAUCCGCCACACUGGAACUGAGACACGGUCCAGACUCCUACGGGAGGCAGCAGUGGGGAAUUUUGGACAAUGGGGGCAACCCUGAUCCAGCCAUGCCGCGUGAGUGAAGAAGGCCUUCGGGUUGG
rnacentral:rRNA from 1 species